rnacentral:rRNA from 1 species
GCACAAGCAGCGGAGCGUGUGGUUAAUCGAUGCAACGCGAAGAACCUUACCUGGGCUUGACAUCCCGAGAAUCCCCUGGAAACAGGGGAGUGCCUUCGGGAACUCGGAGACAGGUGCUGCAUGGCUGUCGUCAGCUCGUGUCGUGAGAUGUUGGGUUAAGUCCCGCAACGAGCGCAACCCUUGUCUUUAAUUGCCAGCAUUCAGUUGGGCACUUUAAAGAGACUGCCGGUGUUAAGCCGGAGGAAGGUGGGAUGACGUCAAGUCCUCAUGGCCUUUAUGCCCAGGGCUACACACGUGCUACAAUGGGUGGUACAAAGAGAUGCCAACUCGCGAGAGCGCGCCAAUCUCAGAAAGCCAUCCUCAGUUCGGAUUGGAGUCUGCAACUCGACUCCAUGAAGUUGGAAUCGCUAGUAAUCGCGGAUCAGCAGGUCGCGGUGAAUACGUCCCCGGGCCUU